GAGUUUGAUCAUGGCUCAGAUUGAACGCUGGCGGCAUGCCUUACACAUGCAAGUCGAACGGUAACAGGUCUUCGGAUGCUGACGAGUGGCGAACGGGUGAGUAAUACAUCGGAACGUGCCCGAUCGUGGGGGGAUAACGGAGCGAAAGCUUUGCUAAUACCGCAUACGAUCUACGGAUGAAAGCAGGGGACCGCAAGGCCUUGCGCGGACGGAGCGGCCGAUGGCAGAUUAGGUAGUUGGUGGGAUAAAAGCUUACCAAGCCGACGAUCUGUAGCUGGUCUGAGAGGACGACCAGCCACACUGGGACUGAGACACGGCCCAGACUCCUACGGGAGGCAGCAGUGGGAAUUUUGGACAAUGGGCGAAAGCCUGAUCCAGCCAUGCCGCGUGCAGGAUGAAGGCCU
rnacentral:rRNA from 1 species